GAUGAACGCUGGCGGCGUGCCUAACACAUGCAAGUCGAGCGAAGCACCUUACUUGAUUUCUUCGGGAUGAAAGUAUUGUGACUGAGCGGCGACGGGUGAGUAACGCGUGGAUAACCUGCCUCAUACAGGGGGAUAACAGUUAGAAAUGACUGCUAAUACCGCAUAAGACCACAGCACCGCAUGGUGCAGGGGUAAAAACUCCGGUGGUAUGAGAUGGAUCCGCGUCUGAUUAGCUAGUUGGUGAGGUAACGGCCCACCAAGGCGACGAUCGGUAGCCGGGACUGAGAGGUUGAACGGCCACAUUGGGACUGAGACACGGCCCAG
rnacentral:rRNA from 1 species